GAUGAACGCUAGCUACAGGCUUAACACAUGCAAGUCGAGGGGCAGCACAGUGUAGCAAUACACGGGUGGCGACCGGCGCACGGGUGCGUAACGCGUAUCCAACCUUCCCGUUACUCUUGGAUAGCCUUCCGAAAGGGAGAUUAAUACAAGAUGGUAUUCAAAUUCCGCAUGUUAUUUGAAUUAAAGAUUUAUCGGUAACGGAUGGGGAUGCGUGACAUUAGGUAGAUGGCGGGGUAACGGCCCACCAUGCCUACGAUGUCUAGGGGUUCUGAGAGGAAGGUCCCCCACACUGGAACUGAGACACGGUCCAGACUCCUACGGGAGGCAGCAGUGAGGAAUAUGGUCAAUGGUCGGAAGACUGAACCAGCCAAGUAGCGUGAAGGAUGAAGGUU
rnacentral:rRNA from 1 species